rnacentral:ncRNA from 1 species
CCAGACCGCUAGGGGUGCGCAAAGCUGAGAGUCCUUCAGCUGAAGGACAACCCUGGCACCUGAACUCGAUAAUCCGAGCGUAGGGAAGGCGGUAUAAUAUGACA